rnacentral:rRNA from 1 species
GUAUAAGAGACAGCAGUAGCCACGGGAAUACAGAGGGUGCGAGCGUUAAUCGGAUUUACUGGGCGUAAAGCGUGCGUAGGCGGCUUCUUAAGUCGGAUGUGAAAUCCCUGAGCUUAACUUAGGAAUUGCAUUCGAUACUGGGAAGCUAGAGUAUGGGAGAGGAUGGUAGAAUUCCAGGUGUAGCGGUGAAAUGCGUAGAGAUCUGGAGGAAUACCGAUGGCGAAGGCAGCCAUCUGGCCUAAUACUGACGCUGAGGUACGAAAGCAUGGGGAGCAAACAGGAUUAGAUACCCCUGUAGUCCCUGUCUCUUAUAC